rfam:Smittium culicis strain GSMNP scaffold-2590, whole genome shotgun sequence.
AGAGUAAUAGUGUAGUGGUUAUCACGUCUGCUUCACACGCAGAAGGUCUUGGGUUCGAACCCCAAUUAUUCUA